GGCACGAUGAUAUCAAAUCCAUCCGAAGAGGUGAGAAGGGUCUGAUGGCCUGUUGGAGAUGGAGGACAAGCAGAGAGACCAUCACCAGGGCCAGGACAGUGAUGGAUCUCCAUCUUGGGACAUGGACAAAUGCCCCAGCUUCCCAGAGGGGUGGAUGGGAACCCCAGGUGCAGAGGAUCUGAGUCAAACCGCUGAGUCACCAGCAGAUCCAGGAUUGCUGAAGAGGCUGAGGCCGGCCCCUGGACCUGGAAGGGCUUCCUGCUGGGCACGAAGAUGUUGCAGAAGGAGCCGUGUGGACUGGAACAUUUCAGCUACAUGUGUCAGGGCAUAAGGAUAGAAGACUGAAGAAAAUAGGAGUUUUAUGUGUCAAUGA